GCCACACAUAUGGGCUUCCUCAUCUUUCCCAGCGAAACUACUAAUUACGCUGGCAAGACAAGGCAGUCUACAUGUGUGGC
ncrna:Caenorhabditis remanei microRNA crm-mir-74b precursor